rnacentral:lncRNA from 1 species
GUUCCUUCGUUGCUGGUGGUUUUUUUAUUUUAACCUUACAGUUUUGCUUUUAGAUUUGCGAUUUUGUGGUUAAUUUUUACCAUAAUGUUUCAUUCAUCUCCUUUUGAUUCUGCAAUUCCUCAUGACUGUCAAAGUUCAUUUCAUCAUUGUUCUCCUAGUGAGCCGGCAUUGAAGACACCAAAAAUGAUGGAUUUCUUUCCUAAAGCACAGAAAUUUAGGAUGGAUACUUCAAUAUUGGAUUUGAAGAAAUUAUUAGAAGAUAACUUUCAGUUACUUUCAUUGAAAAUUGACUCUGUUUUGGGUCAUUUGGAUAGAAAGGAGAAGUUUUUGCUGAGGUAGACUCCCAUCUGAGUGUUGUUGAGGAGAGACAAGCAUUUGUUGAUGGUCAAUUAAAUAGUUUGCGAAUGGAAAUGGUUCAGAAUGAAUAUUUUAUGGAUUUAAAUUUAAAUGAACUGCAUUCACACAACCUAAUUAUCCAUGGUCUUUAUUUAGAGAAUGUAUCAGAAUUAGACAAUCAGGUAAAAGAAUUUAUGAAAUUAUUAGAUAUUGACAACUGUAGUGUAGUGUCUUUGAAUAUUAGGAUUAUUUUGAAACCAUCUAAGUUAGUUUUGUUGACCAAGGGAAAUAUUCAGCCG